GAGUAGCUGGGAUUACAGGUGUGCACCACCACGCCUGACUAAUUUUUGUAUUGUUAGUAGAGACGGGGUUUCACCAUGUUGGCCAGGAAGUAUUUUUUGAUGCUCUUGCAUCUGGGGCUGACCCAACACUGCUCAUCCCAUGUGGUCAUUGCUGGCUUACAGUUUUUCUUCCCAGGGUCUCCCCAAGAGCUGCUUCCUUUGACUCCUGCUGUGUGUAGUUCUGCUGACAAUGACCUGGACAGCUCUGCGCCAUGCACAGCGUCUCUUUUCUCCGACUUACCAAAUUUUAGACACUACUGACUCCUCCAUGUGAAAGAUGGGAAUUCAGCUACAUCACAUUACCCUACAAACUUUAUUGUUAAUAUUUCUUCCCGGUCAGCCCCAAACACUGAAUGUAAAUACGGUCCAACAUCAACCUGCAAACGAACACUGACAUGAAAGUGCAGUUGGAAAGGAUCUCGCAAAGGAACAGAAUCUGGUGAUCCUAAUCGUAAUGAACGUGAUCGCCGGGUAUUGAGAGCUUGCAGGUACCAGGGCUCCGGCACUACGUGUUUCACAGGGGCCACUCGGUAGACCUCUUGGUGACCUUGAGGUCAGGUACCACGUUCCCAUUUUACAGAGGAGGAAACUGAGAUAACCUACGACAGCGAAAAGGUAGCAGAGCUGGGACUGGUGCCCAGGCUCGCCGAGUGGAAAAGCCCUCGGCCACCGUGGAGAGCUCGCUUCCUGUGGUCUGAAGCGUCGCCCCUGCACCGGCUUCUGCUGCCAAGGAUGGCUUUUCCUCACUGGUGCCCACCUACGCUCACUUGUGUCAUGUGGUUAAGCCCUUUUGGCAACAUAAGACCUUUCCCAAGAAUGUGCCUCGGUGCAGAGGAAGACGGUGGGGGCAGGCCCCCUCCCCGGGAUGCUCCACCCUCCCUGACCUCACACGGGUGCAACCUGGGCCGUGGCCGAGACCUGCUGUGUGGCAGACAAUGGGAAGCCUGUGUGUCGUCCUGGGUGCCGGAUUUAGACAAUAUUUAGCUUUCCCUUGGUGGAAAAGCCUUUCCCCUCCUGCUUUGGGCAGGAACUGGUUCCUGUUGGGCGGGGCCUGGCUGCUGCCCCACCCCCACCCGGCCGGGCACCUUGACCGGCAGCUCUCCGGGCUGCUCCCUGCCUGUGUCCCUGAGCACUGACUCCAGAGGUUUAAUCAUUAACGGGCACGUUUGGCCUUCGGUCGUGGGCUGGAAUUUGGGACCUGUGCCCGGGAACAAUGAUCUCCGACACAUUAUUUUGUGUAAAAUCACUUUUAGCUGCCAUUAGCUAAUAAAGCUGGAAUAAAGUGAGGUCCAUUAACCA
ensembl:lncRNA novel transcript